AUAAGUGUGGUAUUCUAUCUCCGUCAUACGAUAUAAGUGUGGUAUUCUGAUCCGACCAUAAGAUAUAAGUAUGGUAUUUCAACCCCACCAUAGGAGAUAAGUAUGGUAUUCUGGCCUGACCACAAGAUAAAAAUAUGGUCAUAGUAAAAGGCUGAUGAGUUAUGUGGUAUUUAUUUUGAUUAGAUUUUUUAGUAUGAUUAAUUUUGAAAUCAAAUAUAUGAUUAUGUAUAUGAAUAUUUGAAAGAUACUAACAUUACUGAAU
rnacentral:lncRNA from 1 species